ACGCAUCUGUGCAUGCAGCAUAUCAAUAAGCGGAGGAAAAGAAACUAACAAGGAUUCCCUCAGUAACGGCGAGUGAAGCGGGAAGAGCUCAAAUUUGAAAUCUUAAAGGUUUUCCCUUGACGAAUUGUAGUUUAAAGAAGUGUUUUCUGCUGAAGUUUUGGUAAAAGUUCUUUGGAAUAGGACAUCAUAGAGGGUGAGAAUCCCGUAUUUGACCAUUAUUUUCAGCUUUGUGAUACACUUUCAAAGAGUCGGAUUGUUUGGGAAUGCAGUCCAAAAUGGGUGGUAAAUUUCAUCUAAAGCUAAAUAUUGGCGAGAGACCGAUAGCGAACAAGUACCGUGAGGGAAAGAUGAAAAGAACUUUGAAAAGAGAGUUAAACAGUACGUGAAAUUGUCAAAAGGGAAGCGUUUGACACCAGUGUUGUUUUCUCGAAAAUCAAUUAAAAAUGGCUCGAUUUUGUAUUGUUUGAGACCUUAAAAGCUCACUGUACAUUUUUCGUGUCUUUUUUAAUGCACUUUCGUUUAACAAGUCAACAUCAGUUUCUUUUGUUGUAAAAGGGUCAUUGGAAGGUGGCUUUCUUUUCGGAGAAAGUGUUUAUAGCCUUUGGCCUCUGCAAUCGAAGAGACUGAGGUCUGCAGCGUAGACUCUUCGGGGUUAGAUACAUUUGUGCUAAGUUAUAGCUUUUUAUAGACAACUUGUUGACUAUAAUUAGUCUUGUAGCUUACUCGCUUAUGCUAUAUUACCUACGCUUAGGAUGUUGACGAUCAGCUGAGCGCG
rnacentral:rRNA from 1 species